CAGGCCGCAGGGGAACUGCUGCUGCCUGCCUGGAGCACCUCCUGCCCUCCUGCUGCACUCACCUGGGGGGCUGCAGGGCUGCUUCUCACUCCCAUCACCCAGCUGCUGCACAGCAGUUUUUUUUCCUCUUUUCUCCAAUCUGCUCUCUCAGAGGCCCAACCAGGAAUUAAUCGUUCUUGCUUAAGUGUGAUAUAUGUUGAGUAUUUUGUAAUAACAUCUAAAUGAAUUUUCUAGCUCUCCCUCUUGAUGACUUCAGACUCUAGCACCACUGUCCUGAGCUGCUGAGUUGAAAGACUGCCUCAGGCUGUCCACAACCUGCUUCUUCCUUCUUUAUGAAAUUCAAAAUGAUCAAAAUGUGUGUAGGAAAACAAAUGAAUGGAGAUCUUUUUAAACUUACAUAUGUAUCCUUCCACAAUAGCUUUGUGAAGAAUACUAUAUUAUUUAAAAACUAUUGCUCUUACUUUUGGUGUGUGGGUAAAAUGUAUACAACUAACUAAAUUUAUUUGAAGCUGCAUGUAUGUAGAAAUUUUCACAUGAAAAUGAAUGAUACAUUAUUUGCUUUUAUGUUUUUAGUAAUUUAUUAUGCACAUUUAUUUACCCAUCUGUAUACAAAAGUCACACAAGGUAUAACUUGAAAACUAAUCUCUUGAGAUUGCUCUAAGGCAAUCAGGUUUCUAUUGUAUUAAUCUAAUUUAGAGCUUACCUGUUUUGAAAAAUUCAUUCAUUUAAUUUAAUUAAUUAAUUUAUUUAUUUAUUUUGGAAGGUUAAUAUUGAUUAGUAAUAUAUCUUAAUGAACUUAGACUUUUGUGCUUGGAUUAAUAUCUAGCAAGCAUGUAUUCAGAUUAAUCUGAAUUGAACAAAUUCCCUGUUGUGCUGAGUAUUCUUACUAGAAAUGAGAAAUGUCACACAACCAUCUGGAAUUGGAGAAACGAAAGAGAUAACUGAGGAGUUCUUUUCUUCUGUCUUUCUUUCUUUACAACUUCUGAACACCCCACAGUCAUUAAGGCUGUUGUCCUCAUCCACUGCAGGAAAGCAGAGGAUCAUUAUUAUCUCUAAAUUGCUGGCAGUUCUAUGGCAGUUGAGAUGCACGUCUGGGACAAUUGCAGUCUAAUGAGGAUUUGGUGAGAAGAUGCAACUUAUAUCUUAGUUGUCACUUGCAUCCAAAGCUUUAAGAUCAUAAGCCUUUGAAGAGUUGGGACAAAAAGGAUGUGCUGCAAGAGCACGUCCUUCCCUUACAGGACAAUGGGUGCAAUAUUCAGAGACAGCAGAGAAGGCACUCAGAGCUUGUUCCUCAUUCAGUUUGUAUCAUUCUGUGUAUGAAAUACUGGUUUGAAGUAUGAAUUUUCAUGAGACUUGUUGGAAUUGAAAUGUGGUCCUGUGUUACUUGAGAUGCCCAACCUUGCAAUGAAAUCUUGGACUGACCUAUAGCAGCAAAGUACUUGUGAAGUACUGGUCAGUAAUAAACACAGAAGUUAACAUUAUAGACA
rnacentral:lncRNA from 1 species